CGGCAGGCCUAACACAUGCAAGUCGAGCGCCCUGCUUGCAGGGAGCGGCGGACGGGUGAGUAACGCGUGGGAACGUGCCUUUUAGUUCAGGAUAGCCACUGGAAACGGUGAGUAAUACUGGAUACGCCCUAAGAGGGGAAAGAUUUAUCGCUAAAAGAUCGGCCCGCGUUGGAUUAGCUAGUUGGUGGGGUAAUGGCCUACCAAGGCGACGAUCUAUAGCUGGUCUGAGAGGAUGAUCAGCCACACUGGGACUGAGACACGGCCCAGACUCCUACGGGAGGCAGCAGUGGGGAAUAUUGGACAAUGGGGGCAACCCUGAUCCAGCCAUGCCGCGUGAGUGAAGAAGGCCCUAGGGUUGUAAAGCUCUUUCAGGUGUGAGGAUGAUGACAGUAGCACCAGAAGAAGCCCCGGCUAACUUCGUGCCAGCAGCCGCGGUAAUACGAAGGG
rnacentral:rRNA from 1 species